rnacentral:rRNA from 1 species
AACGAACGCUGGCGGCAUGCCUAACACAUGCAAGUCGAACGAGACCUUCGGGUCUAGUGGCGCACGGGUGCGUAACGCGUGGGAACCUGCCCUUAUGGUCGGAAUAACUCCCCGAAAGGGGUGCUAAUACCGGAUAAUGUCUUCGGACCAAAGAUUUAUCGCCUUUGGAUGGGCCCGCGUUGGAUUAGCUAGUUGGUAGGGUAAAAGCCUACCAAGGCGACGAUCCAUAGCUGGUCUGAGAGGAUGAUCAGCCACACUGGGACUGAGACACGGCCCAGACUCCUACGGGAGGCAGCAGUGGGGAAUAUUGGACCAUGGGCGAAAGCCUGAUCCAGCAAUGCCGCGUGAGUGAUGAAGGCCUUAGGGUUGUAAAGCUCUUUUACCCGGGAUGAUAAUGACAGUACCGGGAGAAUAAGCUCCGGCUAACUCCGUG